UAAAGUGAUGUCGUCUGCAUAACGAAGAU
rnacentral:piRNA from 1 species